GAUGAACGCUGGCGGCGUGCCUAAUACAUGCAAGUCGAGCGAACAGAUGAGGAGCUUGCUCCUCUGACGUUAGCGGCGGGCGGGUGAGUAGCACGUGGAUAACCUACCUAUAAGACUGGGAUACCUUCGGGAAACCGGAGCUAAUACCGGAUAAUAUAUUGAACCGCAUGGUUCAAUAGUGAAAGACGGUUUUGCUGUCACUUAUAGAUGGAUCCGCGCCGCAUUAGCUAGUUGGUAAGGUAACGGCUUACCAAGGCAACGAUGCGUAGCCGACCUGAGAGGGUGAUCAGCCACACUGGAACUGAGACACGGUCCAGACUCCUACGGGAGGCAGCAGUAGGGAAUCUUCCGCAAUGGGCGAAAGCCUGACGGAGCAACGCCGCGUGAGUGAUGAAGGUCUUCGGAUCGUAAAACUCUGUUAUUAGGGAAGAACAAAUGUGUAAGUAACUAUGCACGUCUUGACGGUACCUAAUCAGAAAGCCACGGCUAACUACGUG
rnacentral:rRNA from 1 species